UACGGAGGGUGCGAGCGUUGUUCGGAAUCACUGGGCGUAAAGGGCGUGUAGGCGGUCCGCUAAGUCUGAUGUGAAAGCCCGGGGCUCAACCCCGGAAGUGCAUUGGAAACUGGCGGACUCGAGUCCCGGAGAGGAGAGUGGAAUUCCUGGUGUAGCGGUGAAAUGCGUAGAUAUCAGGAGGAACACCGGUGGCGAAGGCGGCUCUCUGGACGGUGACUGACGCUGAGACGCGAAAGCGUGGGGAGCAAACAGG
rnacentral:rRNA from 1 species